ensembl:lncRNA
GCUUCACACUGAGAAGACCACAAAGCCAUUCAGAAGCCCUGGAUCUAUUAUUUAAUCUAAAUGGAAAAAAAAGAAGACGUGUCAAAGGGCAGAAUGAUUUCAGGAUGUUCCAGUUCCUGAGGGUUUCCUUCCUCCCUGUCUCCAGGAAGUGGGUCCUGCACCAGCUUUCUGCCUGGAACAAAGAGUGGCCCCACCGCGGCAUCCCAACCUCACCUCUCGCAGAGGAAAGGAGUUCACUGUGUGUGCAGCCCCAUCGGUUCCUGCUCACAGCCCAGGAAGGACAGAGCUGUUCGGCUGUGGCCUCUCGCCUUGGUGCUGCUCCUGCUGGGAAGAGCUUUUCCAGGGACCUAGCAGAACACAGUAUAGCAAAGCACUCAGUAAAGGGAAAGAUGAGAACCCUCUGUCUCUAAGGCUUUACAGUUCUCUGUUGAUUUACAAGUCCUAAAGACAAAGUUCAUUAACAAUAUUUCCCUCAUGGCUUGACCUGAGUUGGAAAUACUUUUCAGCUAAGAAUAUAUCCUAAGAAUGCUAACACAGUAUUUUCCUAUUGACCCAGCAGAAAAAAAACACAGGAUUAAAAUAGAUGGCUGUGUGGAUUCAGUCAUGUAGCUGUGUAAAUUGAAGCAAUUGCACCAGAAUUACAGCAAGAAUUGUUAAGUAAGCAUUAAAAUACUUUGGAUCUGUCCUUGUGUUCAAUUUUCAUUGAUUUACUGUAAUUGGAAGCAUCGAAAGGAACCUUUUGCCUCUAAACCCUUAGUGAGCAAUAACGAAGUUUCUUUAACACGAUGUCAAAUUUGGAGAGAAAGAGAGAAAGGGAGAAAGGGAGAAAGAGAGAAAGGAAAUUUUGGAAAGCUCUGCAUCAAGAAUCUUAACUGGCCUUUUAAGGAUAGCACACAGCAGCUGGGUUUUACAAGAGCAAUUCAGUAGAUUCUGCAGCACAAAGUCAACAGCCCCUUGCUCUUUUCAGCAGGUAUGUGGUUUUUUGGGGAAAAAACCACCCCAAAACACCACAACCCCCCCUUCCUUUUGUCUCUAUUUUCUCUAAGUAUGAGAUUACUUUUUUCCAUUUUUUUUAAAUGUAAAUUGGCAGCUCUUUUAUUGACCCGUAUAUUACAGGAAUAAGUGUGAACUGCAGGGCAAGGUUGCUGGCUGCAAGUAGUUUGUGCUGAGGGACACAAGCUAGGACUCAUGCUCCCUCCCACCUCGCAGUCAUUUUAUCAGCUGGAAGUAAAUUAAUAACAUCCCAGAAAUGAUUUGCAUUCACAAACUCAAUGAAAGAGAGGCAACACAAAAAAAGUAAUCACACAGGAAUGUAGAGAACAUUAAAAACAGCAGGAAAAGAUAGUAUAUAGUCAAAACACAGGUGCUUCAUCAUCAUAUUUCCACUCGAGUGUCCGUAUCCUCAAAUAA